GAUGAACGCUAGCGGCAGGCCUAAUACAUGCAAGACGAACGGUAAGUUGAGUAGCAAUACUUAGCCAAGAGUGUCGUACGGGUGCGUAACACGUAUGCAACCUACCCUAUACAGGAGGAUAGCCUAGGGAAACCUGGAUUAACCCUUCAUAGUAUUAUUGGAUGGCAUCAUUUGAUAAUUAAAACUGAGGUGGUAUAGGAUGGGCAUGCGUCUGAUUAGUUAGUUGGCGGGGUAAUGGCCCACCAAGACGAUGAUCAGUAGGGGUUCUGAGAGGAAGAUCCCCCACACUGGCACUGAGAUACGGGCCAGACUCCUACGGGAGGCAGCAGUAGGGAAUAUUGGUCAAUGGAUGCAAGUCUGAACCAGCCAUGCCGCGUGCAGGAAGAAGGCCUUCUGGGUUGUAAACUGCUUUUGCCAGGGGAUAAAAUUUCCAUGCGUGGAAAACUGAAGGUACCUGGUGAAUAAGCCACGGCUAACUACGUGCCAGCAGCCGC
rnacentral:rRNA from 1 species